GAAGUUUUACGCAAUCCAUAAAGCUUGAUUAACAGAUCUGUAGAAGGAAGCUGGUUUGGGGCUUGGGGACUGGAAAAAAUGCUGUGGGAUUUAAUCAUCUUUAAGAAAAUACGCUCUGUACUUGGAGGAGAUAUUAGAUUUAUGCUCUGUGGUGGAGCUCCUUUAUCUGCGGAUUCUCAACGCUUCAUCAAUAUCUGCAUGGGGGCUCCUAUUGGCCAAGGAUAUGGCUUGAUAGAAACUUUUGCUGGAGCUGCUUUUUCUGAGGCAGAUGACACAGCAGUGGGCCGUGUAGGGCCACCCCUUCCUUGUUGCUACAUUAAGUUCACUUGAAGAUGGAGCUGCAAAAUCUGAAACAGAGGAAAGCCAGUCACAAACAGUUCCUCACGAUGCCGAGGCUAUUCCAGUUGCUAAGCCAGUGAGCAUAAGUGCAACUAUUUCCACUGUCUUGGCAAGUGCUGGGAAUACUUUGGAGGGGUCUGUGGCAGAACUUGUGUUGAGUCCUCUUCGACUUGCAUUUGAGACAAAGAACUUGAAAAUCUUAGAAUCUGCUUUGGAUUGUCUUCAUUAUGAAGUGAACGGCAAAGUGGCUGAUUCAAUGCUUGUUAAUACCAUAUUGAUGCUGGUGUAUGUUACUAAGUUUUUUUUGGUGGGAAGCUGGAUACUGGAGCACAAUGGAUAUUGCACAUGAUUGAGCUGGUUUUUAUAUUUGCUGGGGAUGCCUUGUAUGGGUGCCUUCUAUAUAUACUUCUCCUGGCAUGUACCUGGUCAAUCAUCCCGUACACCUUGGAACUCAGUUGGCACUCUACAUCCUAGUAGCAGGCAUUCUUUGCAUAUACAUCAACUACGACUGUGAUAGGCAAAGGCAAGAGUUUCGCAGAACAAAUGGCAAAGCUUUGGUUUGGGGUAAAGCUCCAUCAAAGAUAACUGCCACUUACACUACCACAACUGGGGAAACAAAAAGCAGCAUUCUUUUAACUUCGGGAUGGUAUGGAAAAUACUGGAAAUCGUACUGCGAGAAGGUUCGGUACAGGGUCAUCCCCGGAAUUUACUGAGAAAAUGUUGCACAAGUGUUUGUUCUAUGUUGAGAAUGGCAUGUAUAUUCAGCCUUUCCAAAUUAAAUGAUGGCAGGCUGGUAUCAUGUUGUUGUUAUUGUUGUUUUUGUAAUGGUCAACUUUAUGGAUGUUGUAUUUCUCUCAUCUUCAAUGACCAAAAACUUUUCUUGUUUAGGAAAA